GCUGUAGGGGGCUCUGGGGUGAAGAGAGGCAGCACCAGCUAGAUGGGGAAUGGCUACGGAGGCCGCUGCCCUCUGGGGAAAUGCUGAGCAUUGCAGGGCUCCUGCCGGUCCCGAGGACCUCUGCCUCAUACCCUCGCCAGCCGCCAAGGAAGACAGACCCUCGGGCUUGGCCUCCAGUGCUGCCUGGCCUGGGUCUCCUCCCUAGAACUGCAAACAUGCUUUCCUGCCUGCUUCCGCUUGCCAUGCAAAGGGCUUGCUGACCAGGGUGGGAUUGGCAUGGGCAGGCCUGCAGCCACUACCCAGCACCUCAUUCAUUCAUUCGACAAACAUCCAUGAGGCCACGUGCCAGGGACCAUGUUCCCAGUGAGAGAAACCAUGAGAAGAAAACAGACUCAAUCAACGUCUGCCCUCACGGAGGGCAUCACUUGGUCACCUCGUAGUGGGGGAACUACAUCCAGGCUGGGGAACUUAAGCAUGGAAUUGAACACUUCAUUAUUUGUGUUUUAAUUUAUAAUCGAUCUAAUAAAGUUACUAGAUAAAAACCUCA